UAUACUGUAGUUUUUAUUUUUUAGAGCGUACUCUUUCCACUUACUAAAAAGAAAAAAAAAGUUUACUGUAAAACAAACUGCUGGGUUAAAGCGUAAACCAAUCGCCGUAAAAUGCUUCUUCAGAACAUCAGCGUGAUUUGCGUAAACGAAAUACGAAUGAACGGCAUGAUUGACGGGCUCGUGGGGUGACGUAGGGUAGGCCGUGUUGGAUUUCCAACCUCGCCUUCCCGCAGGCUGCAGCCAGGGGCUUCUCCGGCUUCCAGGAAACGUCCUGGUGUCGUCGUUCAUUUUUCAUCCCCGCACUCCUGCUGUCCCGCCCCGCGGCCCCCAGGAACAGGACGCGGCGAGGCCAAAAUAAGACACGCAGCAUGGCGGUGGCGAUUCGAGCUUCCAGCUCCCGUCUGCUCACCAGGCGUCUGCUACAGCUCCAGUUCCUCAGCGAUUGAUAUUUCCUGUUGUUGCAAGCGCCCCCAUCAGGCAAUCAGUCUCAUCAAGGUGCACAGUGAGUGAAAAGUCGACAGUGGCUGAUUAGAUGCUGACUUUUCCCUCAAGCUGACUUUUGCCAUGAAUUGAGCAAGGAAUGGUCCAGUGACACCGGAUGACUGCAGCUGGCUUCUGUUGCAUGACAGAUCCAUUGAGGUUCUGACCUCCCAGAAGGGCAAUCAUGAUGAACCCCGAAGCUCAUGUAAAAUACAUUUCCUCUGAGCCGUACAUCUACUUCUCUAAUGGCUCAAACCUGGUGGUCAACAACAAAAGAAAGAAUAUUUCUUUGCCCUGCUUUUAUUUUUGAAUUUCUCUGCUUUGUUUCCCUUUCACAUAAAAUGUUUCCCUAAUGGAAUCUGAGUGAUUUCAAAAAGAAAUGGUAGCGUGAUGCCAUGGAAAGCCUACAUCUGAGUUCAAAAGGAAAUUGUGUCUAAAACUAUCUUAGAUUUCUUUUGAUUGCCUAUUGAUUUUUGUGGAGCCAGGAUGCUGCUUUACAUGGUUGUUCAAAUCAAAGGCACUCAAAAAUUGGGGGUAGGAGGUGGUCAAAAAGCUUCUUUUCACACAUCAAUUGCUGUGAAAUGUUUCCCAAAUAUUCUAGAACCAAUUAAGCUAAAAUGGAUUGAUCAUUACCUGUUACAAUCUCUGUCUGUAAUGUUCUCUUAA